AUCCUGGCUCAGAACAACGCUGGCGGCGCGCCUAACACAUGCAAGUCGAACGAGAAUCCGGGGCGAACCCGGUAGUAAAGUAGGCAAACGGGUGAGGAAUACAUGGGUAACCUACCCUUGAGAAGGGAAUAACCCGCCGAAAGGUGAGCUAAUACCCUAUACGCUAUCUUUUUUCGUAAAAGGAUAGGAAAGCCGGGUCGAGGACCUGGUACUCAAGGAGGGGGCUCAUGUCCUAUCAGCUUGUUGGUGGGGUAACGGCCUACCAAGGCUACGACGGGUAGCUGGUCUGAGAGGAUGAUCAGCCACACUGGCACUGAGAUACGGGCCAGACUCCUACGGGAGGCAGCAGUGAGGAAUAUUGCGCAAUGGGCGAAAGCCUGACGCAGCGACGCCGCGUGGGGGAUGAAGGUUUUCGGAUUGUAAACCCCUUCCAUGAGGAAAGAUAAAGUGGGUAACCACUUAGACGGUACCUCAAGAAGAAGCCACGGCUAACUUCGUG
rnacentral:rRNA from 1 species